rnacentral:rRNA from 1 species
UGGGGAAUAUUGCACAAUGGGCGCAAGCCUGAUGCAGCCAUGCCGCGUGUGUGAAGAAGGCCUUCGGGUUGUAAAGCACUUUCAGCGAGGAGGAAGGUGGUGAGCUUAAUACGCUCAUCAAUUGACGUUACUCGCAGAAGAAGCACCGGCUAACUCCGUGCCAGCAGCCGCGGUAAUACGGAGGGUGCAAGCGUUAAUCGGAAUUACUGGGCGUAAAGCGCACGCAGGCGGUUUGUUAAGUCAGAUGUGAAAUCCCCGGGCUCAGCCUGGGAACUGCAUUUGAAACUGGCAAGCUAGAGUCUCGUAGAGGGGGGUAGAAUUCCAGGUGUAGCGGUGAAAUGCGUAGAGAUCUGGAGGAAUACCGGUGGCGAAGGCGGCCCCUGANGAAGACUGACGCUCAGGUGCGAAAGCGUGGGGAGCAAACAGGAUUAGAGUACCCUGGUAGUCCACGCUGUAAACGAUGUCGAUUUGGAGGUUGUGCCCUUGAGGCGUGGCUUCCGGAGCUAACGCGUUAAAUCGACCGCCUGGGGAGUACGGCCGCAAGGUUAAAACUCAAAGGAAUUGACGGGGUCAUAGCUGUUUCCUG